GCAUAUGUCAAUGGCCUGUUGGUGUGGGCCAUCUGUGGAGGUCUCGGCAUUUUCGGGAUCUGGCCGUGUUGUUUGAUUCCGUUCUGUGUGGAUUCCUGCAAGGAUGUACAGCAUCGCUGCCCAUACUGCAAAACCCUUGUGUAUGUGCACAAACGCAUGUAGCUCCUGAAGCAAAGAUGAAAGAGCAAAAGAAAACUACCACCAACAUCUUCUGGACAUUACUGGGCUUAAUAAUUCAAAGAAAAAUACCACCAUGACAAGAAAAGACUUGUAUGGGUUUCUCUUUCCUGAUAGAUAGAUAGAUAGAUAGGAUAGAUAGAUAGAUAGAUAGAUAGAUAGAUAGAUAGAUAGAUAGAUAGAUAGAUAGAUAGAUAGAUAGAUAGAUAGAUAGAUAGAUAGAGAGAUAGGUGUACUGAUCAAUCGAGCAGAAUAUACAUAUUUUGUCUUGAUGCCAUUUUUGCACAGCAAUGUUUAUUUCAACGUUUGUUGAUUUGAUUAAAUUGUUCUUAAUCUAA